rnacentral:rRNA from 1 species
CCAGCGUUUGACAUNCUAAGAAGUUUCCAGAGAUGGAUUCGUGCUGGCUUGCCGGAACUUAGUGACAGGUGGUGCAUGGCUGUCGUCAGCUNNNGUNGUGAGAUNNNGGGUUAAGUCCCGCAACGAGCGCAACCCCUAUUGUAUGUUGNUNCCAUUAAGUUNNNNNNNCNNNNGAUACUGCCUGCGAUGAGCAGGAGGAAGGNGNGGAUGACGUCAAGUCAUCAUGCCCCUUAUACGCUGGGCUACACACGUGCUACAAUGGGCAGUACAGAGAGUUGCCAACCCGCGAGGGUGAGCUAAUCUCUUAAAGCUGUUCUUAGUUCGGAUUGUACUCUGCAACUCGAGUACAUGAAGUUGGAAUCGCUAGUAAUCGCAAAUCAGCAUGUUGCGGUGAAUACGUUCUCGGGUCUUGUACACACCGCCCGUCACACCACGAGAGUUGGUUGCACCUGAAGUAGCAGGCCUAACCGUAAGGAGGGAUGUUCCUAAGGUGUGAUUAGCGAUUGGGGUG